rnacentral:rRNA from 1 species
GUUGAACGCUGGCGGCGUGCCUAAUACAUGCAAGUCGAGCGAAGCGGGGACGGGUGAGUAACACGUGGAUAACCUCCUAUAAGACUGGGUUACUUUAGGGAAACCGGAGCUAAACCGGUUACUGAUAGAUGGAGCUUGGCUGGAUUAGCUAGUUGGUAAGUGAACGGCUUACCAAGGCAACGAUGCAUAGCCGACCUGAGAGGGUGAUCGGCCACACUGGAACUGAGACACGGUCCAGACUCCUACGGGAGGCAGCAGUAGGGAAUCUUCCGCAAUGGGCGAAAGCCUGACGCAGCCACGCCGCGUGAGUGAUGAAGGUCUUCGGAUCGUAAAACUCUUUUAGUAGGGAAGCGGUACCUAAUCAGAAAGCCACGGCUAACUACGUGCCAGCAGCCGCGGUAAUAC